GGUCCCUCCCAACCCAAACCAUUCUGGGGUUUUAUGAUUGUUUGAUUUUUAUGCUGCAGGUGGAGACCUACAAUAUCUACUCUAUGGAAUCCUAAGCAGCCUGCACAGGAGAGCUCUGAGCAGUGAAAGCUGUGAUGGGAGAGCUUUGGGACACUGCUGUGGAUCUCUGACAUGUUCACAAAUAAGGACAGCACCUCUCAGAACCCCUGAAACCUUUCUAAACAGAGCUGGACAUUCUGCUAAUGAAAUCUGUGGGAAGAUAGGAGGUACAGUGGUGUUUAUUUGCAGCCUAAAUCUUUGUGCUUGAGGACUUGGCUGUUCAGGAGUUUGCUCUGGUACUUGGCCAGCUCAGCCUUUGGAUAAUGUUGUGGAGAAUGCAGGGAUCCUGCAGCUCUGCAGGGUCUUGAAAACCUAACACUAAAUAUGAGACAGAUGUGCAGCAGGAAUCAUUUGCUCACUCAGUGCUGUCUGCUGCCUUAUUUUCAUGCUUAUUUAUUUCUAUUCCAUAACUUAGACCUCCACUGUUAUUUUUUUUAAUUACUACCUAAGUAGAAAAAAGGAAGAAAACCAGUUCAGCAGUAAUGACCACAUGUAGAUGCAUUUGUUGUGUAUUUAUCAUACAUAUGAGCUGAGGGUUUUAAUUUGCACCAGUGAAAGCUUGUUAUUGGUAAUGACAAAAAGGUAGAUUGGAACAGCCUGGUCUUAUAGUUUCCAUUUUCUCUGCUUCAGUGCAGUUUAGUACAGACUUAGAUCUGCUGCAGAGUAUCUAAAAAAGCACCAAAAAUAUUUAUUAUUGAUGAAGACAAAUAGUUUUGUGUUUUCUAUAACGUAGAUUGUUUUUUUUUAAUUUAAUGGGCUACCAAAAUGCUGUAGACUGUGGGUUGUAAACCCUGCACAGAAAUGUUGAUUUGUUGAAUAAAAUGCUUUUAUUAGUGCCUUUCAAAAUCACACCAACUUUGCAAUUGCUCAUUGUUUUCCCUGAGAUUUCAUGUGUUAGACUUCUUAGAAGAUAUUCUGUAUGGGACUGGGCAGGAAGGAUAGAGAUCCAAGGAUUCAUGUGUAGUGAGAGGGCAGAAGAACAUACACAACAUUAUCCAAUAGCCAAAACUAUUUCUAUGGAGAAAACAGCUAGAGGGUAAAAAAGAGAGGUGGCUAUUGGAUUCCAUGAGUUUUUCUUUCUUUUCUCCAUACCCAGAUUAGCUGAAAAUCUUCCCUUUGCCUUGCAAAUGCAACCACAGCUCUGAGAGUCAGGAAGAGAGGAAUUUAAUUUGCUAUGCCAUCGUAAUCAGGGACUUAAGUGCAGCAAAAUCUGACAUUUUUUACCCAGCCAGUGUUGUGUGAAGCAGUGAGCUGGGGGCCCAGGUUCGUGCUGCAGCUGAUGCUUGCAGGCAGUUGUGCAGCAGCAGCAGUGCAGGGGUGACAGUGUUGCCAUGGAGGCUGCAGAGAUAAAGCUGCAGCUGAUGUGAAAAGCAUGUGACAAAGCUGCCCCACAGCUGGGAUACCCAAAACUGAAAGAUCUGUCAGAAAGUUGCUCAGCACCUGGCUGAUACCCACGGGUCCAUUCUUGUUUCCAUUGAGGGACAGGGGUGGGCUCUCCCCGCUGAAUUCCAGGCCCUGGAAGGAAAUGCAUGGAUUUAAAGCUCCCUGUGUGUGUGAGUGCAGUCAGGCAUCCCUGAGCUGCAGGGGGAAGGAGGAGGGCAGGACCUCCUGCAGGUCCCAGGGCUGCAGUGAGCCCCCAACACCUGCAAGAGCUUCCUGCACCAGCAGAAAUGCACUUUGCUCUUGUGGAGCGAUUUCCAGCCAUGCUGCUGAAUUCAUGGUGUGCCCAGCACGCUCUGCAGCCAGCCAAGAGACUGCAACCAAGGGAGGCAUUUUUGCUAUUGGUGCAAUGCCAUUUCCAGCCUUCCUGGGAGUGUGGAACACUCAGGAGUGCUGUGCUCCUUUGGCCACGGCCAGCUCUGUUUGCAGGGCUCCAUUUCCCACCUGCAGCUCCUGCAGACUCUUUGUUAAGCACAAGGCAUUGCAAUAAUCCAAUGCAGAAUUGAUAAAAAUUACUGACCCUCUGCCAAGGCAUCUCCUGAACUGAAAACUCAUACCCAAAGAAAGGGUCACAGCCUUCGGUGGGGCUGCAAGCUUAGCAGUACCAUAAUUAUUUAUGCUAAUAAAGUGAAGCUGAUGGAAGUGGGACUUAGUGCCAGGAACAAGCUGAGGAGAUUUUCCUGGGUCUCACUGAACUGUUCUGAGCAGGAGCACUUGUUGUCCAAGUCCUUUCCUUUCUCCAACCCUGUGUAAGAACUUAGUGAGGCUUUUUAGGAGGGUGGGAAAAUUAAUAUUUUCAAACAUAUUCUAUUUACCUUUGUCUCUGAGCAUUAAAUUGUAAUUCAGAUUAAUAUUUUCUUCAUUUCCUAUGAUGGGUAUUAUUGAAAAAAAAAAAAAGAAAAAUCUGUAGGCUCCUAAUUGGUUUCCAAUGAUUCAUUCAGCAGCACAUUUAUAAAUAGGAAAAAAGGGGAGGGGGAGAAGUCAGCAAGGGAAAGGGAAACCUUCAGACAUACAGCUGCCAUUUUAACCAGGGGCCAGAACAUUUCUGUGCUACUCAACUGAUACUUUUUUGUUGGUGAAGUAAAUUUUUCAGCCUGCUUCCUACCUUCUAGUGCUGGAAUCCUUAGUACAUUUUCCAGUUAAACAAUGUUCCCUCUUGAAUUCUGAGCAGUGGCUACAGAAACAUUAUUUGCAGGCAUGCAGUUGGGAUUUGUUCUCUCUUUUACUUCUCUGUUCAACCUCCAUGGCACAGAGCACAAGGACAGUGGAUGGAAUUUACUAUUUCAAUUUUUAGAGACUCGUAUUUUCAGUAGUAUUGGUGUUCAAUUCCUUUGUGCAAAGAGGGAAUCAAGGUGUCCAUCACAAUGCCAGGGGUCUUGUGGUAAAUUAUGAGUUAAAGUCAUUGGUGAAUUAUGAGUUAAACCUCCUGGAAUGAACAGGGAUGCAACUACAGAUUCAUUCAGGUCUCUGUGAUGUACUUGAAAUUAAACCUGUAUGGUCUUUCAAUAAAAUUA